GGGCGAAUAUGAGCCACAGCUUGUGAGCUAUAUAAUCUGGAAGCUAACGUCGUCUCGGUCUUUUCUCUGAUUGUGCUCAGGAGAAGUUCAAGACACAAAAGAUAGUCUUCAGUUUAUAAUGCAGCACCAUCUCAGAGGUUCAAACAUAUCUAUGGACGUGAUCUAUCAUCAUGGAAGAUUUGGUGGACAUCCAUAUGAGCCAGACGGAGGAUGAUGUCUGUGUUUGAGCUUCAGCAUAAUGUCUUAAAGAUGUUUAUCAUGGCAGCAUCACUUACUGGAGGAGAUGGGUCUGAGAUGGAUGAUCCAACAGAAGGACCGCGACCAAGUCUCAUGCAAUAACAUCUUGUAGAGACGAAACCAGCGAAGAGAUACUGAAGUGGCUGCAAGACGAUGUGGAGGAGUCAUUUCCCAAAUGGAUAAAUGCAGGUAACAAGCAAGAUACUGCCAAAACCUGAUGGAGCUUGGACAAGUGGAGCAGUUUUUCUUCACCUCUCCCUGAUGCCAAGCAAAGCUGAUAAUAAAUGUUUUUAAAUUGUUGUAUUUAGUUUGAAAUGACAGUUUACUGACAGCUAUUAAUCUGCCAGAAGCAUUUGUGUUGCACAUUAUGGAUCCAACCAAAAGUACAUACAGUAGAUGUAACAUGCCAAAACUGAUGCCAAUUUUGGCUUCCAAUAAAAAAAUACUGAACUCA